rnacentral:rRNA from 1 species
GACGAACGCUGGCGGCGUGCUUAACACAUGCAAGUCGAACGGUAAGGCCCUUCGGGUACACGAGUGGCGAACGGGUGAGUAACACGUGGUGAUCUGCCCUGCACUUCGGGAUAAGCCUGGGAAACUGGGUCUAAUACCGGAUAGGACCAUGGACUUCACGGUUUGUGGUGGAAAGCUUUUGCGGUGUGGGAUGGGCCCGCGGCCUAUCAGCUUGUUGGUGGGGUAAUGGCCUACCAAGGCGACGACGGGUAGCCGGCCUGAGAGGGUGUCCGGCCACACUGGGACUGAGAUACGGCCCAGACUCCUACGGGAGGCAGCAGUGGGGAAUAUUGCACAAUGGGCGCAAGCCUGAUGCAGCGACGCCGCGUGAGGGAUGACGGCCUUCGGGUUGUAACCUCUUUCAAUAGGGACGAAGCGCAAGUGACGGUACCUAUAGAAGAAG